CCUUGACUUUAUUGUUUGGAUGGAACCACCCGAUCCUCAAUCGAAACGUGAAACACCAAACGGUGCGCCUACACUGGAGUGAAACCGCAUCUCAGUCAAGUUAAAUUAAGAAGGUAAAAACAAAUCAAACCGCUACGCUCCUCGAGUGGAUGCCUUGGGUUUGCUAUACUGGACGUGUGGUCGCCACGAAAGGGUCUGCUUCCGAAAGGCGGACAUUUCCAGAUUUGAGAACAGUGCCAUUUUUACCCAACGUGGAACUGAACCAUCUUAGUACACGUUAUGCCGGUAGUAAUGGUGAGUGAACCCGGCCCCCCAGGGCCGUCCACAGGAACCCAGAUUGGAAAAUUGGGAGCUCUUGGGACCCAGGUCAUGUAGCCUAAGAUUUGGCCCAAUUUUGGGAACCACUAGGCGACAUUGUUCGCCCGCGCAUGUUCUCUCGCUCUUUCGGCUUCGCCAAGCGAGAAUCAACUAGCGCGAAUUAAGAGGGAACCUUGGCGCCAUAGCGGGUGAAAGCCCCUUACCUGGAUGUACCCUGGGCGUCAAAGCUGUUGUAGGGAACCUCCCACAUGACGAUGGGCAGCAAACACCGAUAGUGAACGAGUACCGUGAGGGAAAGGUGAAAAGCACGCGGAUCGCGGUUGAAAUAGACACUGAAACUCGUGGGAGUAUGGCUGUCGCACUGAUCCAUUGACCGCGUCGAAGUCCUAUGAAGGUUGCUAGGACGUUCACAUUUGGAGAGGGGUUGGGCGGCGUACCUUUUGUAUAAUGGGUCAGCGAGUUGUUUUCUGGGGCAAAUGCUUAAGCCGUUAGGUGGAGGCGAAGAUUAUCGCGAUGUGUAUUCAGGGCGCCAAGGUCCCAGGAAACAGACCCGAAAUCCAGUGAGCUGGCCGCUUACAGGUUGAACGCGACCGAUAGGGCGCCGGAGGACCUCACGCACGUCUGUGGCAAAAGGCGGCGAAGAUGAGCGGCCAGGGGUGAAAGGCCAAUCAAACUGGGAAAUAGCUGGUUUUUUGCGAAAUCUAUUGAGGUAGAGUGCUGUGAACAAUAUAACUGUUCGGUGUAGACAACUAAGGUAAAGGAGGAAUCCUUACCCUUAGUAAGUUAUCAAUACCAGCAGGAAGGCAAACCCCCCCGGGGACAUUUUAGUCGUCGAAAGAAAGCCCCCCCCAACGUCUUCGGGUCGAACACAUUAAGGUCGUGCCCCCCAACCCUGUUUUUUUCGGGGACCGCCCCUGACUCGGUUGCCUAGAAGAUUCAGCGCACAGACCCCUUGCCCCAAGGUAGGGGGUCAAAAGGGAAACAGCCCAGAUCAUCCGUUAAGGGCCCUAAAGGGUGUACUGAAAAGGCCGCUAAAAGGAGCAGCCGUGACCGCCAGAAAGUGGGCUUGGAAGCAGCCAUCUUUUUAAAACAGCGUAAUAGCGCACUGGCCUAGCGCUCAGAGGCCAAAAAUGCACGGGUGUGACACUCUCCCGAAACGAUGAGCCCCCUUGUGGGGGGGCGGUAGCAAAACGUUCUGACCGAUCAGAAGUGAUAAUGCUGACAUGAGUAGCACAACUUCAGUGAAACACUGGAGCAUUUGGCCUAAGGUUUUCUGGGCGCCGAUGGUCGUCCCAGUAAGUAAUCGGCCCCUUAGCACUUUAUGUUGUGAAGGGGAAGGGACUGGAUCGAUCGCGUUGGUCCGACGGUAAGCGAAGUCAAUCACCCCGAUGGGGGGGUUGUUUUUCAAGCAGGAGGAACCCAAAACGCCAAAGUGGUUCCCACCCCCCUUUCUUCCAUGACACGGGGUGUGGUUUUUACACCUAGCCUAGGUUCCUCUAGCCCCCCACGACGGGGGGCGGAGACUGACAUCUAGCGACCUGGGCUUUGGGGAAACUAGCGGCCAAGUUCGGCGUGGGAGGAAGGGCUGCGGGUUUCAUAUAAUCUGGAAAAGAACCGCAUAGAGCACCGUACCAAAACCAACACAGGUGGGCCGUCAAAAUGACGAGAGAAUCCCGCUGAAGGAACUCGGCAAAAGGUAUUCCCCCAGAGGGGGACGGAGCAGCGACAGUUUACUAAAAACCUAGCACUCUGCAAAGUGUACAUCACACGCUGUAUAGAGUGUGACACCUGCCCAGUGGCUGUAACUGAAGGGCCCGCCUCGUCUUGGUCUUUUUGUCCUAGGCGUCGGCUUGCCCAAGGCCAGCUCAACGGCGGCUGUAACCCUGACAGUCCAAAGGUAGCGAAGUUCCUAGACGCUUAAUUGGCGUCCUGCAUGAAAGGUGUAACGACUGCUCAACUGUCUCCAGCGGGAACUCGGCGAAAUUGAAUUCUUCGUGAAGAUGCGAAGUGAACGGAAGAAGACGUAAAGACCCCGUGCACCUUGACUAUAACCAAUCAUACCCCCAUGGUACUUUUGGUAUCCCUUUUGGGGGUUCGACUUUUACCAUAGGGGGGGCCAGGAGACGAUGUCACCUAGUGUGUCUCGGCUACAUACAAAAGCGACACCUAGGUGAUCCCUCCCAAAGAGACGUGGUUGGCGGGUAGUUUGUCUGGGGCGGACACUUCCAAAAGAGUAACGGGAGCGUGCGAAGGUGCCACCACACAAGUGGAAGCGCAACAGCAUUGGCGCCUGACAGGAAGAGGUACACCUCAACCUGGGUCUGACUAUUUGCAGACAGUUGUAGUGAGCCGCAACCUCCCGGUGGCCGGGGGUUGCGCACAACGGAUCAAAGGUACGCCGGGGAUGUUGAAGACAUAGUCUGAGCAGCGGGGAAACUCGCUGAAGUGUUGGCUUAAAUGGCCUCACGGUAACAUAAUGAACAGGCUGGUGGUCCCCGAGAGUACCCAUCGACGGGAUCGUUCGGCACCUCGAUGUCGGCUCAUCGCAGCUCGGUGCUGAAGAAGGUGCCUAGAGUUGGACUGUUCGUCCAUUAUAGCGGUACGUGAGCUGGGUUUAGAACGUCGUGAGACAGUUCGGUUCCUAUCUCUUCUGUUCGGUGAUUCACAGUCUAGCGCAAGGUGGU
rnacentral:rRNA from 1 species